ACUCCUGCGGGAGGCAGCAGUGGGGAAUUUUGGACAAUGGGCGAAAGCCUGAUCCAGCAAUGCCGCGUGAGUGAAGAAGGCCUUCGGGUUGUAAAGCUCUUUUGUCAGGGAAGAAACGGUGAGAGCUAAUAUCUCUUGCUAAUGACGGUACCUGAAGAAUAAGCACCGGCUAACUACGUGCCAGCAGCCGCGGUAAUACGUAGGGUGCAAGCGUUAAUCGGAAUUACUGGGCGUAAAGCGUGCGCAGGCGGUUUUGUAAGUCUGAUGUGAAAUCCCCGGGCUCAACCUGGGAAUUGCAUUGGAGACUGCAAGGCUAGAAUCUGGCAGAGGGGGGUAGAAUUCCACGUGUAGCAGUGAAAUGCGUAGAUAUGUGGAGGAACACCGAUGGCGAAGGCAGCCCCCUGGGUCAAGAUUGACGCUCAUGCACGAAAGCGUGGGGAGCAAACAGGAUUAGAAACCCCGGUAGUCC
rnacentral:rRNA from 1 species